rnacentral:tmRNA from 1 species
GGGGCUGAUUCUGGAUUCGACGGGAUUUGCGAAACUCAAGGUGCAUGCCGAGGGGCGGUUGGCCUCGUAAAAAGCCGCAAAAAAUAGUCGCAAACGACGAAAACUACGCUUUAGCAGCUUAAUAACCUGCUUAGAGCCCUCUCUCCCUAGCCUCCGCUCUUAGGACGGGGAUCAAGAGAGGUCAAACCCAAAAGAGAUCGCGUGGAAGCCCUGCCUGGGGUUGAAGCGUUAAAACUUAAUCAGGCUAGUUUGUUAGUGGCGUGUCCGUCCGCAGCUGGCAAGCGAAUGUAAAGACUGACUAAGCAUGUAGUACCGAGGACGUAGGAAUUUCGGACGCGGGUUCAACUCCCGCCAGCUCCACCA